rnacentral:rRNA from 1 species
UACGUAGGUGGCAAGCGUUGUCCGGAUUUACUGGGCGUAAAGAGCGCGCAGGCGGUCGUUCAAGUCGCGUGUGAAAGCCCCCGGCUCAACUGGGGAGGGUCACGCGAUACUGAUCGACUCGAAGGCAGGAGAGGGUAGUGGAAUUCCUGGUGUAGCGGUGAAAUGCGCAGAUAUCAGGAGGAACACCGGUGGCGAAGGCGGGUCUCUGGGCCGAUACUGACGCUGGAGGAGCGAAAGCGUGGGGAGCGAACAGG